rnacentral:rRNA from 1 species
AAUCAACGCUGGCGGCGUGCCUCAGACAUGCAAGUCGAACGAGAAGGCUCCUUCGGGAGCCGGAAAGUGGCGCACGGGUGAGUAACACGUGGGUAAUUUACCUUCGGGUGGGGAACAACAGCCGGAAACGGCUGCUAAUACCGCAUAACGUAGCGGCACCUAAUGGUGACAGUUGUUAAAGCGGGGGAGUCGCAAGACCUCGCGCCUGAAGAGAAGCCUGCGGCAGAUUAGGUAGUUGGGAGGUAAUGGCUCACCAAGCCCGCGAUCUGUAGCCGGCCUGAGAGGGCGGUCGGCCACACUGACACUG